rnacentral:sRNA from 2 species
UCAAGUUACCAAUAGUCCUAGUUAUGUUCACUCCAUGAUCAUCGCCUUCGAAAGAGUCAUCAUUCUUCAAACGACUCUAUUUCCUCUGUACCGUCGAUACAAUCAAUCCGAGACCAAUCCAUCCAGCCCUGUCGCCACGGCCCCUAACCUCCCAAAAGAAGUCAAACGUUGGCAAUGAAUUACGCAAGAAUCUGCCGUCCAGGCGAUCGAGGCCAGAUCCUCAGGUACCGUUUGUGUACCGCAUAUCCAGUAGAGCCGCCUCCGCAAACUCCAAAGUUCAGCAUCGAAGGAAAAAAGAAACUAAAUACAUCAUGAAAAGAAAAA